rnacentral:rRNA from 1 species
AUGAAAAUAAUCCAUGAAGCUAUUGACAUGAUACGUGAGCUGCUGAAGUAUAUUGACUCUUCUCCUUCAAGACUUCAAGAUUUCAAUACAAUUGCAAGUGGGAUGGGUCUACGUGCAAAGAAAGGCAUCUCUGUUGAUACACCAACCAGAUGGAACUCAACCUGGAAAAUGCUUGUAGAAGCAUUGACGUACAAAUCUGUCCUCACUAGUUAUGCCAAUAGAAAGAUGAUAGAGUCUCCAAGUGAGGAAGAAUGGGAGAAGGCAAAAGCUAUUUGUGAGUUUCUAAAAGCUUUUAAAGAGAUUACCUUGAUUGUUUCAGCUCACACAUUGAAAGAUCCGGGUUGG